UUGACCUCGAACGGCGAGUGAAGCGGUAACAGCUCAAAUUUGAAAUCUGGCUCUUCCGGAGUCCGAGUUGUAAUUUGUAGAAGAUGCUUUGGGUUGUGGGUUCGGCCUAAGUUCCUUGGAACAGGACGUCAUAGAGGGUGAGAAUCCCGUAUGUGGCCGAGGCCCGCGCCUAUGUAAAGCUCUUUCAACGAGUCGAGUUGUUUGGGAAUGCAGCUCAAAAUGGGUGGUAAAUUUCAUCUAAAGCUAAAUAUGGGCCAGAGACCGAUAGCGCACAAGUAGAGUGAUCGAAAGAUGAAAAGCACUUUGGAAAGAGAGUUAAACAGUACGUGAAAUUGUUGAAAGGGAAGCGCUUGCAACCAGACUUGGGCGCUGUCGAUCACCCCGAGUUCUCUCGAGUGCACUCGACAGCGCACAGGCCAGCAUCGGUUCGGGUGGCUGGAUAAAGGCCGUAGGAACGUGGCUCCCUUCGGGGAGUGUUAUAGCCUACGGUGCCAUGCAGCCCAGCCGGACCGAGGACCGCGCCUUCGGGCUAGGAUGCUGGCGUAAUGGUUGUCAGCGACCCGUCUUGAAACACGGACCAAGGAGUCUAACAUCUAUGCGAGUGUUUGGGUGGUAAACCCAUACGCGGAAUGAAAGUGAACGUAGGUGAGAACCCCUCUGGGGCGCAUCAUCGACCGAUCCUGAU
rnacentral:rRNA from 1 species